rnacentral:lncRNA from 1 species
GCGGCUGCCUAUGAUACUGACUUUUUCGCUGGUUGCUUACUUUUUGCCGAUUGUUCUACUUGUCUGUCAGGGUGCCUUCCAAAUGGCUCACUUUUGGGGGAAGC